GCAGUCGUGGCCGAGUGGUUAAGGCAAUGGACUAGAAAUCCAUUGGGGUCUCCCCGCACAGGUUCGAAUCCUUUCGACUGCG
rnacentral:tRNA from 1 species